CAGGCCAGGCAUCUGUAGAGGGAGAGUGGUUGUGGUUGCACAAAUGACCACUCAAAAAACAAGUUACAGGUGUACCACCUGUCCUUCUUUUUACAAGGAAAAGAAAAAACAAAAGCAAGACAGGCUACUGAAAAAAAAAGAAAUUGGGGAAAAUCCUCUCCAGUGCUGCUGCUAAGGUGGCUGAAGGACAACUAAGUUAAAGGUGGGACCCAAGCCCAUGAAACAUGAGCACUUGAUGGGCCAAAUUUCCUGCCGUAAUUCUAGAAGAUUCUGAGCCUUCCAUGGGCUCCACUGCCUGGGAAGAAGUUUCCAUCAUCAUAGCGAUGGAGUGAAAUAUAAAGGACAUUGGGAUCACUGUAGAAAGCUUGCUGGGUACCAUUUCCAUGAUGUACAUCCUUAAAUGACAGACAUUGCAAAAUAUCAGAAGUAUUACUUAGAAGUGGCUCUCUACAAGAAAACCUCUGUACAGAGGAUGGAUCAGCUAUGGAGGUAAAUAGUACAACUGUACAUAACAUGAUAUGCUUUGGAUUUGAUCUCAGAGUAUGCUGGUAGGCAAGCAUAUCUCCUCUCUAUAUCAGCCAUGCUUUUCCCUCAGCAAAGGUACAGUUGUUUUAAAGUGUCACAGAUGGGUGCUCUGGUCACAUCCCACACACUUUGAACCAUAUUUUGGAGCUGAAGGUCUUGUAUGCACACAGCUCCUAACUUUGUGUACACCCGCACACACCCACAAACUCCACUGAUUUGACAGAAAUAUAUAGGUGAGUGAAACUACAAUUUCAAGAAAUUUUUCAGAUGAACCAAAAUAAAUCUGACAUUUACAAUAUUUUGUAUUCUUACUUGGCUUGGCUAUAAAACUUUAUUCAUAAAAUUCCUAUCCUUUUUAUCAAUGAAUAUAUUAUUUUGGAUAAAUAGUUUCCUUCAAACUCUAAUCAGUAAGAAAAAGGUUGGCAAAGUAACAAGAAGUCUCUUCCAAUUAUUAUACUACCAUGAAUUACUCCUGAGGGAAAUGUUGGCAGGCCAGGCAGGAUGGCAGGCCUAUGGGCUGUCAGUUACCCCUUCAUGUCCCAGGGACGUGGCAACUCUGAACACUCACUGCCUCUAUGAAACAAAGAGUAAUUCAGAUUCUUUAAAUUCUUCUAUCACUAUGACUUGUCUUCGUAUCAACCAGUAGUCUUUAGAAUGUGACAGUUCAGGCAGAAACCUCAAAGGAUGAGAUUGUAGGAAUGCAUAAUAUAUCCCUGAUUCUAACAUUUCAUGUCAACACUUUCCAGUAAGGUGUUCUCAGAACAGAAUGGAAAGCUUGAAGGAGAACUUAGGAAGAAUCAUGAAAAUUAAGAGAAGGAUCCAGCAUGAGAAUCAGACAUAUGAAAAUUGCCAGAAGAAAAUACUUAAUGCUGAGAAAGAGAAUGUUUCCCAAAUCCAAAACAGCCAUCUUUAUGGUGGGACUGAAGAUUUUGUUUCAACCAGUCAUACAUCCAGAGGUAUUCAGUUUUACCUCUUUCACCACUUGUAGGAGAUUGUCCAUGUCCUCAUAUAGCAGAGUAGCUAGGAAGUCAGAUGUUUUUCAAGUCCUCACAAUCUGCUCUAGAAUCUUGACUGGUAAGAGUCAGACUGACUGGCCUGCCAUUCCCUGACUCUUCCUUUCUGAAAACAGACAUUUGCCCUCUUCCAGUCAUCAGGUAUGUAACCAAGUCAACAGAAUUUCUCAAAGAUUAUACAUAAAUGUUCAGUUAGACCAUCAGCUGGUUCCCUCAGAUGUGGGGAGUAGACAAGUUGCAGGUGUCAGAAGGCAAUGCUGCAAAAUAGAGAAACUGAUGGGUUGAUUGAUUCACACCUGCCUCUUGAUCUGUUAAGUCUGGAACACCAGCCUCAGCUGUGGAAGUACAGUAUAGGCAGUCCUUUUCCUUUACGCUAACUAGCUCAUCUGCUUCUCAGCUGGAAUUCCCUUUUUGAGAGAAUCCCUCCAUUUUCCAUCAGGGAAGUGAGCUGUUUCAAAGCCAGGCUCCUUUGAAGGAUUGGAACAGUCUUUUCUGCCUUUUGCUUUCUCUUAGUUUUUUCCCCUGCAUUGGAACUGUUUGUGCCUUUAAUUUCUCUCCCCCAUCUUGGGCUCCUUUUUUCCACUGGCUUUCCCUGUCAUCAAAAUGUUACCUGUAAUUGCUCUAUAAUAAAUUUAUAUCUAAAAUUUA